GAUGAAGAACGUAGCGAAAUGCGAUACUUGGUGUGAAUUGCAGAAUCCCGUGAACCAUCGAGUCUUUGAACGCAAGUUGCGCCCGAAGCCAUUAGGCCGAGGGCACGCCUGCCUGGGCGUCACACGUCGUUGCCCCCCCAUCUACUCCUUCGGGAUUGCGGGGGGCGGAUGAUGGCCUCCCGUGCGCCUCGCCGCGCGGUUGGCAUAAAUGCCAAGUCCUCGGCGACGCACGCCACGACAAUCGGUGGUUCGAAACCUCGGUUGCCCGUCGUGUGCGGUCGUCGCGCAUCGAGGGCUCGAAAAAAUUGCCGGGUUCCGGCUCGGCUUUCAACGCGACCCCAGGUCAGGCGGGGUUACCCGCUGAAUUUAAGCAUAUCAAUAAGCGGAGGA
rnacentral:misc_RNA from 1 species